UGAUAUUGAUCGAUUGACUCAUUUCUCACUGAAUAUCUCAUAUUUUGGAUUUGACCAAAGCAGAGACAAAUAAUGCAGAUGACCGCCUGACUGACACUGAUAACCCUGAGCUUUUGAAAUCUGUUGUCAUGGACUCUCUGUCUCCUCUGACCGUCUGUCUGUACAUACAGCUGUCAGUGAGUCUUCUGGGUUCAACUGCCUCCUCCACCACCAGCCUGUGGGGUAAGAAAGUACAAUUGAACGGUCGUCCUUGCCCGUGGCAGCUACAGCCAGGUGUCACGGUGCCGGCCCUCAAGGAGCUGAGUGUGUGCCUGCUCUUAUGCCGCAACAUUGCAACCGAGUGGACAGGGUUUGUCUACAAAGCACCAG